GUGAAUCAUCGAAUCUUUGAACGCAAAUUGCACUCGCUAGUAUUCUGGAGAGUAUGCCUGUUUGAGGGUCAGUUUAAAUAAAAAUCGGUGUGGUUGCUGCCUUUCGUGGUGACGCACCGGAUUUGGGUCGUCUUGCCGUCGGUUAAGUGACCUAAUAUGUUGCAUGAUAUUUUCCGAACGUAUUUUAAUGAUUGUACGUACGUUUGCGAUAUAGAAUACUCGGUUGGGUCAUUCUCAUGAUUCGCGCCUAUAAUUUUUCAUUAAAAUUA
rnacentral:misc_RNA from 1 species